CAUAGGUUAAUGAGGCGAACCGGGGGAACUGAAACAUCUAAGUACCCCGAGGAAAAGAAAUCAACCGAGAUUCCCCCAGUAGCGGCGAGCGAACGGGGAGGAGCCCAGAGCCUGAAUCAGCAUGUGUGUUAGUGGAAGCGUCUGGAAAGGCGCGCGAUACAGGGUGACAGCCCCGUACACAAAAGCGCAUGUGCUGUGAGCUCGAUGAGUAGGGCGGGACACGUGGUAUCCUGUCUGAAUAUGGGGGGACCAUCCUCCAAGGCUAAAUACUCCUGACUGACCGAUAGUGAACCAGUACCGUGAGGGAAAGGCGAAAAGAACCCCGGCGAGGGGAGUGAAAAAGAACCUGAAACCGUGUACGUACAAGCAGUGGGAGCCCCACCACUAAGCCAGUGGUGAACUCCACAUACGCAUCCUUUGCUGAGGAUACGGUUAACGGAGCGAAAGCGACGUUCAACCGCAAAAGAAGCAGAGGGGGCUUAGUGGUGGGGUG
rnacentral:rRNA from 1 species